CCUACGGGGGGCAGCAGUGGGGAAUAUUGCACAAUGGGGGAAACCCUGAUGCAGCAACGCCGCGUGAGCGAUGAAGGCCUUCGGGUCGUAAAGCUCUGUCCUAAGGGAAGAAUACUGACGGUACCUUAGGAGGAAGCACCGGCUAACUACGUGCCAGCAGCCGCGGUAAUACGUAGGGGGCUAGCGUUAUCCGGAAUUACUGGGCGUAAAGGGUGCGUAGGCGGCGCUUGAAGUCAGAGGUGAAAGGCUACGGCUGAAGCGUAGUAAGCCUUUGAAACUGUAGGGCUGGAGUGCAGGAGAGGAGAGUGGAAUUCCCAGUGUAGCGGUGAAAUGCGUAGAUAUUGGGAAGAACGCCAGUUGCGAAGGCGGCUCGCUUGACUGUAGCUGACGCUGAGGCACGAAAGCGUGGGGAGCGAACAGGAUUAGAUACCCGGGUAGUC
rnacentral:rRNA from 1 species